UUUUUUUUUUUCAGUUACGUGACUUCACCAAUCAAGUUUCAAUUUUGGGUUCCAAAAAAUGGUAGAUGUGUAUCGAAUAAAUAUGCAGAGGUUUUGAAAAAUCAACCAGCGAAAGUCAGACUACACUAUAUACCCACUUGAAAUGUAUUAUCAGGAGGCAACGGGUUUCUCAUCUUUCUAGGAUGCAUAUACCAAAUGUCUGCUGCUUUCAUGAGCCUGACACAUUGGGGAGAAAAAGGCCUUCCUGACCUGUCUUUUAACAACUAGACACAGAGAGAAGAAAGAUUAGAGAAACAGGUCCCCCUCAGCUGCUACUGCGACAGAAUUUUCACUGACACAAUUGAGCAGUAGCAAUUAAAAAAAAGCUGAGCUAUACCUGAUCUCAGUAUCCUAAUCUCUUAAAAUAAGAAAUGUUUAUUUUUCCCCCUAACAUCUAAGGAUAGAGGAUAGAAAGAUAUUCAUUUCUAAUCACAUUAACUCCUCAUUAGAAAGUCACAAAAAAGCCUAAGAAAGGCUAUUCUAGGGAUAUUAAUAGCCAUAAAAAUAUAGAGUAGCCAGCUUUUUCAUAGAAAAUGUAAAAAUUACUGAAAGCCAUAAUCUAUAAAAAUCUGUAGUUGGCUUUGUUUCUUUCAGAUGUUCAGUUGCUAAAUUGCGAUAUGAACUUAAAAUAUAAUUUUCUCAUGUUUUCAUCAGCAAUGCUAUGCCUUUCCAAGAACACAGAGCAUUUCUGAGGCCCUAUGUGUUCCAAAGUCACAAUUAUUAUUCAAUAUAUUUCAUCCAAAAAAGUAGUUUCAAAUAGGCAAAAGUGAGCAUUUUCAUUGGUUGCUUAUUUUCUUGUAACUGCUUAUCUAACCAACUACUAUGUUUUAAAAUGAAAGAUACUGAUUUUCCAGAUAUGAAUAUGAUCUAGUUCAAUUCAGAAAGUAUUCAUUUUGUUUAUAUUUCAUACAUUCAAAUCUUAUCAUCUAAAAAUGCAGUACCAUUUUCUGCUGAACGAAGCAUUUUGAAAAUAAAGCCCUCGUCAUAUAUAAUAGAUAUUUGCUAAAUAUUUUCAAAGAAUAACCAGUUAUCUAUGGACUUGUUGUCAUUUUCAGCAUGACCCUUAGUUUCUACAACCUGACAAAUAAUCCCUCAUUUUUAAAUUUCACAAUUUUAAGUUACUAAUAAUGGGAGAAAACUGUAUUCCCAGUGGAUAAAGUGAUCUCCAAAGAUUGUUCUUCAAACUUUUGGAAACUUUCAUUGUUGGCUUGUGACGAAGGUUUGAUUUCAGCUUUCACAGUUUCCUUUUACUUGUCUAUGCCUGAAAAAAAUUACAGCUCACGGAGCUUCCAGAUUUGAAUUGUAGCAGAUCAGAAACUGAUGCAUUUCCCUGGAGAGCCCGAACCUGCACAAAUUUUCUGCGUUUCACACCAUAGCAUACGGAAGAUACUGAGGGUUUGGCAUUAUACUUCUCUCUGAAGUGCCUCUUAACGUUACUUUUGUCAGUAAUAGUGAGUUUAUUUUGGCCCAUGAACAUCUCAGUCAGCAACCACUACACUCUGUUCAUGGCAAUUAUAAAAACAACAGUAAGAAAAUUAAUCACUACCAGUGUUUAUUGAAUUCUUGUUAUGUCAUCCUCACUUUGCCUGGCUUAAUCUCAUUUAAUAAUAGCAACUAAUUUAUGAGGUAGAUACUGUUAUUAACAUCAUACUACAUAUGAAGAAAUAGAGAAAGAUGUUAUUUGCUCAAAGGUCAUUCAAUGUAUGCGUGUGAAUCACAUUUCAAACCCAGGCAGCCUGGAUUCUGGACCCUGAACUAUUAUUAUUGCUGCGAUAUUCUAUCAUUUAGCACAUGGCAUUGUAAUAAUUACCCUGCAUGGCUGGAAUUCCCCUGAAACUGUGGAUUUUUCUCUAUUCAAAGAAUGCAGCUGUGGUUUUCCUCUGUCUAUCCAGAUUCCAGCAGCAAAGUCUUCAUUUAAAAAAAAAAAUGAGGAGUUCCAGGCGUGGCGCAGUGGUUAACGAAUCCGACUAGGAACCAUGAGGUUGCGGGUUCGAUCCCUGGCGUUGCUCAGUGGGUUAAGGAUCCACCGUUGCCGUGAGCUGUGGUGUGGGUCGCAGAUGCGGCUCGGAUCCCGCGUUGCUGUGGCUGUGGCGUAGGCUGGUGGCUACAGCUGCAAUUGGACCCCUAGCCUGGGAACCUCCAUAUGCCGCGGGAGCAGCCCAAGAAAUGGCAAAAAGAAAAAAAAAAAAAAAAAAAACAUAAAAAAAUGAUGCAAAUAGUACGUAUUUAUAUUAAUAUAUCUUAAGCAUGCAAAACAAGUAAGUUAGAGAAAAAUUUCUCUUCUUCCCUGUAUACAGCAUUUAGAGCAGACCUUUUAUCACAGAUUUCAUUUUUAUCCAAUAUUUCAUCGGUGCUAGAACUUCUGAAUACCUUUCACAUCUAAACCGUGCAUGUGGAAUCUGUCUCGCUCAGGCUAAUAGAGGUGUGAUUUAAGAAACCACAAAAUGUAUGUCCGUAUUCCCAAAUAGUUCCAGAACCUAUCUUGAGCCCCAUCUAUGAUAGUUUUUGGCCUGAAAGCUCUGUGACCCACCUGUUGAGUACAGACUCUGGAAUUAGAGUGACAGGUCUCAACACUCAGCAUUAUUUCCUGCUAAUUCCAUAGCUUUGCAAGUUUACCGAAAUUCUCCAUGCCUCAUUUUCCUUAUCUGUAAAAUGGGUCUCAUGGCAAUAAUAGUUUCUACUUCAUGAAGCUGAUAUAAAUAUUAAAGAGAGCAAUUAAUAUAUCAUCAGCACAGAGAUGAUUCUCAGGAACUUAAGUUUAAAGCACAUCGGAGAAAUACUAAAAUCUGUUCAAGUAAAUUAUAUUUACCAAAACAGGGAAAAAGAAUAAUAGCAGUCCAAAAAAAUAACAAUAACUAAAACCAAAAGUAUGUAUUUUAAUCCUUAAUGUUUCGUUUGUUUGUUUGUUUGUUUAGCUUUUUAGGGCCAUACCUGUGGCACGUGGAAGUUUCCAGUAGAAUCAGAACUGCAGCUGCCGACCUAUGCCGCAGCCACAGCAACGCCAGAUCUGAGCCAUGUCUCUGAGCUAUACCAUAGCUCACAGCAAUGCUGGAUUCUUACCCCACUGAGCAAGGCCAGGGAUCCAACCCACAACCUCAUGGAUACCAGUCAGGUUUGUCACCUCUGAGCUAUCAUGUGAACUCCCUCAAUAAUAUUUUAAUUUUCUUCUAUAUCUUGGUGAAAAUUUUACCCAUGUGCAUCCAAUAAGAUGGAUUCUGGACAUAGCUUUUCAACUGGUAAUUCUUAUUCAUGGUCACUCCAUUCCUCUAGUCAUUUCCCUGAGUUAGGUCUAGUCUCUCUCCCGCCCUCUAUUUUUUCCCCCCAAAUAGAUAGAGGCAAGAGGCAAGGAUAAAAGUUUUAUGUAGAGACAGUGGGAUUGGGAGAGGCUUGGUAGGUGAAAGCCUGCAAGUCUCCCAUCUACAUUUCUAAACUUGUAAAAUAAAGACCAAAUUGACAAAACUAAAUUUUAUUAUCAAAAUCAGUUCUAUAAGUGGCCAGAAGUUCACUUAUAUGAAAAAGUUCAGUGUGACCAGUUCUCUAAAUAAGGAUCCCUGAAGCUUAUCCAUGUCAUCUUUGUGAUAUUGAAAGUGACACUAUUUUGCAAGUCAGUAUGCUGCAAUGAAACGAAAAAAAUCCGCAUGAUAUAUAUGCUUUCAUUUUGCUUCCCACUGUUUCUCUGACCUUUCCCAAUUGGAGUAGUAGCAGGAAACUAAAAUAAAAGUACUGUUUUUCUGUGUGAGGCGCUUUGCUACUAAACAUUAAUCGUGAAAUUAUAACAGUUGCAAGACUCUUCUGCCUGUUGCUUCUCCUAAGCAGAGAAUGACUAUUAGAUGAAAGAGCCUACAGCAAUAAACAUCAGGGGCUAGUGUUUCCUUCUCCUCUGAACCCAAACAGGCUGAUCCAAGCCCAGAAAUAUCUUUGAAGUUACAGAGACCUUCAUGUGCUGAUCAAUCCUUGAGGGGGUAAAGAGCAAGAAAAGCUGGUUCUAGCACUUUAAUACAUUCUGCCAGGGAAUGCAUUCAGCUCAGUGCAGUACAAAGAAGAUUUCCUCCGCUACAAAUUGAGUGAUUUUGUACUUGGGUACCACUUGGUUCAAUUAACUUAGAGGGAGCUAUUGGCCCAGAUGUGAUUAUUUAUACCUCAGUACAUGUUUCUAUUAAGUUAAACUAAGGUUGGAACAGCAACUGUAAAUUCAUAUUUUUUUCCCUUGGUCUUAAGGCAUAUGUUGAGCUUGGGGUUAAUUUAAGUGGAAAACAGCAUGUGAUUCUCUUAAUAUGGAUGAUCAGUGUUGAUUAUUGAUAUAAUCAGUAUUCUACAGCAUAAUGUAAUAUUUCUAAGUUAUCAAAACCUAAGAAAUAAGUUAACAUAUUAGGAGUUAAGGAAUUAAAUGAUUUUAAAAUUUCAUUGAUUUGCAUGCAGCUGUCCAGGUUUCCCAGCAAUACUUGCUGAAAAGACUGUCUUUUUCCCAUUAUAUAUUUUUGCCUCCUUUGUCAAAGAUUAAUUGACCAAAAGUGUCUGGGUUUAUUUCUGGGUUCUCUAUUCUGUUCCAUUGGUCUGUCUGUCUGUUUUGGUACCAGUACCACACUGUCUUCAUUACUGUGGUUUUGUAAUACUGC
ensembl:lncRNA